AACAGGUCACAGACCCAGCUCUCCAGUGGAGAUCAGACGGAUGCACAGCAAAGUGCUAAAUGACCACACAAGGUGACACAGCGAGGGUCAGGUGACUUUCAGGAAGUAGUGUUCAGUUACCCAAACAGUUGUGAAGAAUAGCUGGCUAGCUCUGUAAAACGUCCCCGGGCCUCUCAGAGUGAAUUUUGUCUAUGUCACACAAUCUGCAUAAUCAUACAGCUGGCAGAAAGGGAACCGUUGAUUGGAUAAAGAUUCACCUUUUAACCUCCUGGCCUGGAAGUGAUACCACUUCUGCUUACAAUCCACUGGCAAGAUCUAGUCACACAGCAUCACUUAUAAGCAAGGGAUGCUGGGAAAUGUAGCCCUUGGCUGGGCAACCGCCUGUUCAGUAA
rnacentral:lncRNA from 1 species